rnacentral:rRNA from 1 species
UGGGGAAUUUUGGACAAUGGGCGAAAGCCUGAUCCAGCAAUGCCGCGUGUGUGAAGAAGGCCUUCGGGUUGUAAAGCACUUUUGUCCGGAAAGAAAUCCUCUGGGUUAAUACCUCGGGGGGAUGACGGUACCGGAAGAAUAAGCACCGGCUAACUACGUGCCAGCAGCCGCGGUAAUACGUAGGGUGCAAGCGUUAAUCGGAAUUACUGGGCGUAAAGCGUGCGCAGGCGGUUUUGUAAGACGGAUGUGAAAUCCCCGGGCUUAACCUGGGAACUGCAUUCGUGACUGCAAGGCUAGAGUAUGGCAGAGGGGGGUAGAAUUCCACGUGUAGCAGUGAAAUGCGUAGAUAUGUGGAGGAACACCGAUGGCGAAGGCAGCCCCCUGGGUCAAGAUUGACGCUCAUGCACGAAAGCGUGGGGAGCAAACA